CUGACUCCCCACCCCUCCGCAAGGCAGGCCCCGCAGUGAUUUUAAAGAUGCCUGGGAGCGGUAGGGAGGGAGGGAUCGGGCUGCAAAAUGUCAUCCCAGCCAAUGUGACAUCACCACCUAAUAUGACUCCCCGGAGCUCCGGGGACGCAGUCGUGCCUACCUACCGGGGAAGGACUUCACUGCGGUUCAGACCUUAAAGUGUCGUUGUCAUCUAGACAUUCCAGCAGUGUGACAUCUGUGGACUGGUCCCAGAGGCCUCCCGAGAACAUAAAGUCCCCACAUUGGGCUGACAUGGGAAACAUCAAGACAUGAAGAGGGACUUGAAUGUGCCUGCCUCAUGAGCCAGAGAGAAGACAGAAAACUUGAGGUCUUGAACACAAGCCACGUUCAAACUGCCAUGCCUUGGCUCAUCAUGACUCUAAGCAAUACUCCUCAUCCCCUACUCUCCCAAGCCAUGUCCCUCUGCACUUUCCCAACAUACCUGAAAUGUGACUUCUUGGAAACCAUCCCUGAUGGACUCAAGUGGACUUCUUAUGUCAUCAUCCUCUGACCCUUCACUGGUGCCUGAUGGAUUUAUGCUUGCUUAUUGAUCUCUAUUUUUAUUGCUCUCAGGUCAUUUCCUCAGUCUCUCCAGUGCACAGGGAGCUGUUUAAACUCUAAUUUUUUUUUCCCUUCUAAUAAAAAUUCAGUGAACUCC